AGAGAGAGACAUGCGUGCAUAUCAAUAAGCGGAGGAAAAGAAACUAACAAGGAUUCCCCUAGUAACGGCGAGUGAAGCGGGAAGAGCUCAAAUUUGAAAUCUUAAAGGGUUUCCCUUUACGAAUUGUAGUUUAAAGGAAGUGUUUUCUGUUGAGGUUUUUGUAAAAGUUCUUUGGAAUAGGACAUCAUAGAGGGUGAGAAUCCCGUAUUUGACCUUUACUUUCAACUUUGUGAUACACUUUCAAAGAGUCGGAUUGUUUGGGAAUGCAGUCCAAAAUGGGUGGUAAAUUUCAUCUAAAGCUAAAUAUUGGCGAGAGGCCGAUAGCGAACAAGUACCGUGAGGGAAAGAUGAAAAGAACUUUGAAAAGAGAGUUAAACAGUACGUGAAAUUGUCAAAAGGGAAGCGUUUGACACCAGUGUUGUUUUUCUGAAAAUCAAUUAAAGAACUGUUUAUGCUAAGUUGUUUAGACUUUAUCAGCUAACUGUUUAGUUUUGAGCUUUUCUUUAAUGCACUUUUCAGUUAACAAGUCAACAUCAAUUUCUUUUGCUGUAAAAAAGCUUGAGGAAGGUGGCUUGAGAUUCGUCUUAAGUGUUUAUAGCCUCUUGCCUAUGCAGUCGGAGAGAUUGAGGUCUGCAGCGUAGAUCCUUCGGGGCUAAAUGCAUUUGUGCUAAGUUAUAGCAUUUUAUAGACAACUUGUUGACUAUGAUUUGUCUUGUAGCUUACUCGCUUAUGUUAUUUUACCUACGCUUAGGAUGUUGAGCGCAUGUCUCUCUCU
rnacentral:rRNA from 1 species